rnacentral:rRNA from 1 species
UACGAAGGGUGCUAGCGUUGUUCGGAAUUACUGGGCGUAAAGCGCGCGUAGGCGGCUUUCCAAGUCAGGGGUGAAAUCCUGGGGGCUCAACCCCAGAAUUGCCUUUGUAAACUGGAAAGACUAGAGUGUCGGAGGGGAGUAGCGGAAUUGCUAAUGUAGAGGUGAAAUUCGUAGAUAUUAGCAGGAACACCGGUGGCGAAGGCGGCUAUCUGGACGACAACUGACGCUGAGGCGCGAAAGCGUGGGGAUCAAACAGGAUUAGAAA